UACGUAGGGUGCAAGCGUUGUCCGGAAUUAUUGGGCGUAAAGAGCUCGUAGGCGGUUUGUCGCGUCUGCUGUGAAAACUCGGGGCUUAACCCCGGGCCUGCAGUGGGUACGGGCAGACUAGAGUGCGGUAGGGGAGACUGGAAUUCCUGGUGUAGCGGUGAAAUGCGCAGAUAUCAGGAGGAACACCUGUGGCGAAGGCGGGUCUCUGGGCCGAUACUGACGCUGAGGAGCGAAAGCGUGGGGAGCGAACAGG
rnacentral:rRNA from 1 species